rnacentral:rRNA from 1 species
GACGAACGCUGGCGGCGUGCCUAAUACAUGCAAGUCGAACGCAGUGGGGACGGGUGAGUAACCCGUGGGUAACCUCCCAUCAGAGGGGAUAACACUUGGAACACGGUGCUAAACCGAUACUGAUGGAUGGACCCGCGGUGCAUUAGCUAGUUGGGGAGGUAACGGCUCACCAAGGCCACGAUGCAUAGCGGACCUGAGAGGGUGUUCGUCCUACCGGGGACUGAGACACGGCCCAGACUCCUACGGGAGGCAGCAGUAGGGACUCUUCGGCAAUGGACGAAAGUCUGACCGAGCAAUGCCGCGGUAGUGAAGAAGGUUUUCGGAUCGUAAAACUCUGUUGUUAGAGAAGCGGUAUCUAACCAGAAAGCCACGGCUAACUACGUGCCAGCAGCCGCGGUAAUAC